rnacentral:rRNA from 1 species
AUUGAACGCUGGCGGCAUGCCUUACACAUGCAAGUCGAACGGCAGCGGGGACUUCGGUCCGCCGGCGAGUGGCGAACGGGUGAGUAAUGUAUCGGAACGUACCUUUCAGUGGGGGAUAACGUAGCGAAAGUUACGCUAAUACCGCAUAUUCUGUGCGCAGGAAAGCAGGGGAUCGCAAGACCUUGCGCUGAUUGAGCGGCCGAUAUCAGAUUAGCUAGUUGGUGGGGUAAAGGCCUACCAAGGCGACGAUCUGUAGCGGGUCUGAGAGGAUGAUCUGCCACACUGGAACUGAGACACGGUCCAGACUCCUACGGGAGGCAGCAGUGGGGAAUUUGGACAAUGGGGGCAACCCUGAUCCAGCCAUGCCGCGUGAGUGAAGAAGGCCUC